rnacentral:tRNA from 1 species
GGUCACGUGUCCGAGAGGCAAGGUAAUGGCUUGCAAAGCCUUCUACGGUGGUUCGAAUCCGCCCGUGACCC